GGGCGCGUAGUUUAAUGGUAAAACAGUUCUCUGAUAAAGAACAGAGCGAAGGUUCGAUUCCUUCCACGCCCA
rnacentral:tRNA from 1 species